GCCAUCUUAGCUCAAUUGGUAGAGCACUCGACUUGUAAUCGAAAGGUUACCGGUUCAAGUCCGGUAGAUGGCU
rfam:Cyanobacterium aponinum PCC 10605, complete genome.